rnacentral:rRNA from 1 species
UACGUAGGGUGCAAGCGUUGUCCGGAAUUAUUGGGCGUAAAAGAGCUCGUAGGCGGUCUGUCGCGUCGGCUGUGAAAACCCGGGGCUCAACCCCCGGGCCUGCAGUCGAUACGGGGCAGACUAGAGUGCGGUAGGGGGAGACUGGAAUUCCUGGUGUAGCGGUGAAAUGCGCAGAUAUCGGGGAAGAACACCCCGUGGCGAAGGCGGCUCUCUGGG